GGAGGUGGCUCAAGUGGUAGUGCGCCUGCCUAGCGUGCAUGAGGCACUGGGUUUGAUUCUCAGCACCA
rnacentral:tRNA from 1 species